GACGUAGGGUGCGAGCGUUGUCCGGAUUUAUUGGGCGUAAAGAGCUCGUAGGCGGCUCGUCGCGUCGACCGUGAAAACCCGCGGCUUAACUGCGGGCUUGCGGUUGAUACGGGCGGGCUAGAGUUCGGUAGGGGAGACUGGAAUUCCUGGUGUAGCGGUGAAAUGCGCAGAUAUCAGGAGGAACACCGGUGGCGAAGGCGGAUCUCUGGGCCGUAACUGACGCUGAGGAGCGAAAGCAUGGGGAGCGAACAGG
rnacentral:rRNA from 1 species